AUUGAACGCUGGCGGCAUGCUUUACACAUGCAAGUCGAACGGCAGAGGGGGCAACCCCUUGAGAGUGGCGAACGGGUGAGUAAUGCAUCGGAACGUGCCCAGUCGUGGGGGAUAACGCAGCGAAAGCUGUGCUAAUACCGCAUACGAUCUCUGGAUGAAAGCGGGGGACCGAAAGGCCUCGCGCGAUUGGAGCGGCCGAUGUCGGAUUAGGUAGUUGGUGGGGUAAAGGCCUACCAAGCCAACGAUCUGUAGGUGGUCUGAGAGGACGACAAGCCACACUGGGACUGAGACACGGCCCAGACUCCUACGGGAGGCAGCAGUGGGGAAUUUUGGACAAUGGGCGCAAGCCUGAUCCAGCAAUGCCGCGUGCAGGAAGAAGGCCUUCGGGUUGUAAACUGCUUUUGUACGGAACGAAACGGUCUGGGUUAAUACCCUGGGCUAAUGACGGUACCGUAAGAAUAAGCACCGGCUAACUACGUGCCAGCCGCCGCAGUAA
rnacentral:rRNA from 1 species